AAAAACGCAACGAACGGGAGCAGUAGCCUUCAUGUCCUGUCCAGAGAGCUGCGGGGUGGUGCAACGCAGUCGGGAGCAUCGGCGAAUCUCGCCCGGGAGCGGCAAAGCUGAACGGCCGGAGUGUAGCGCUGCACUUCUGCAGGCAGUAAGCUUUGACGGGUCGCCUCCGUGAUCAGGCAUCGAGCGGGCAACGGCUUUCUAGGCAAAGCCGGGGUCAACAAGAGUGGUACCGCGAUAGGAACAGCCUGUCGUCUCUUUG
rnacentral:ncRNA from 1 species